CACACUGUAAACUAUGAUAACUAGCUGUUGGCGAUAGACUGUCAGUGGCGUAGCGAAAGCGUUAAGUUAUCCACCUGGGGAGUACGACCGCAAGGUUGAAACUCAAAGGAAUUGACGGGGGCCCGCACAAGCGGAGGAACAUGUGGUUUAAUUCGAUGAUACGCGAGGAACCUUACCCGGGCUCGAACGGUGAAUGACUGUAUGAGAGAUCAUACUUCUAUUUAUAGCAUUUAUCGAGGUGC
rnacentral:rRNA from 1 species